rnacentral:rRNA from 1 species
GGGAAGAAAGCUUGCUUUCUUUGCCGGCGACCGGCGCACGGGUGAGUAACACGUAUCCAACCUGCCCUUUACUCGGGGAUAGCCUUUCGAAAGAAAGAUUAAUACCCGAUAGCAUAAUGAUUCCGCAUGGUUUCAUUAUUAAAGGAUUCCGGUAAAGGAUGGGGAUGCGUUCCAUUAGGUUGUUGGUGAGGUAACGGCCCACCAAGCCUUCGAUGGAUAGGGGUUCUGAGAGGAAGGUCCCCCACAUUGGAACUGAGACACGGUCCAAA